UGGGGAAUUUUGGACAAUGGGCGAAAGCCUGAUCCAGCAAUGCCGCGUGUGUGAAGAAGGCCUUCGGGUUGUAAAGCACUUUUGUCCGGAAAGAAAUCCUCUGGGUUAAUACCUCGGGGGGAUGACGGUACCGGAAAAAUAAGCACCGGCUAACUACGUGCCAGCAGCCGCGGUAAUACGUAGGGUGCAAGCGUUAAUCGGAAUUACUGGGCGUAAAGCGUGCGCAGGCGGUUUUGUAAGACGGAUGUGAAAUCCCCGGGCUUAACCUGGGAACUGCAUUCGUGACUGCAAGGCUAGAGUAUGGCAGAGGGUGGUAGAAUUCCACGUGUAGCAGUGAAAUGCGUAGAGAUGUGGAGGAAUACCGAUGGCGAAGGCAGCCCCCUGGGCCAAUACUGACGCUCAUGCACGAAAGCGUGGGGAGCAAACA
rnacentral:rRNA from 1 species